CUCUAAUCCCAGCACACUCAGGAGAUGGAACAGAGAGGAUCAUGAGCUAAAGUCAAUUUGGACUGUACAGUGAGAUCCUGUCACCAAGGAAAAGGAAAAAAUAGUCUGCUUGGAAAGAGGUUGUGAAAAAAAAUCGGCAACACUUAACUAUUUCUGUGGAAAAAGAGAAGAGUCCUCCAUAGGAUCACUAGAGCCCCACACCCUUUGUGAACUAGUUAAAGGGAUGAACUCAGUUCCUGGAGCAAAAGGUCUCUCUAUAGAAGCUGAGCCAACUUCCAACUU
rnacentral:lncRNA from 1 species